AUCAACGCUGGCGGCGUGCCUAACACAUGCAAGUCGAACGAGAAAGUGGGAGCAAUCCCAUGAGUACAGUGGCGAACGGGUGAGUAACACGUGACUAACCUACCUUCCAGUGGGGGAUAACCUCGGGAAACCGGGGCUAAGACCGCAUAAUCUCGCGAGGUGAGAAUCCUAGUGAGCAAAGGGGUAAGACGCUGGUAGAGGGGGUCGCGGCCGAUUAGCUAGUUGGCGGGGUAACGGCCCACCAAGGCGAUGAUCGGUAGGCGGCCUGAGAGGGCGGACGGCCACAAUGGAACUGAAACACGGUCCAGACUCCUACGGGAGGCAGCAGUGGGGAAUUUUGGUCAAUGGGGGAAGCCCUAAUGCAGCAACGCGGCGUGGAGGAUGAAGUCCCUUGG
rnacentral:rRNA from 1 species